AACCACUCUUCCCCUCAAAACACUAUAGUGUUCUGAACCCACCAGAGAUCCACUCUUCCCCUCAAACACUAUAGUGUUCUGAACCCACCAGAGAUCCACUCUUUCCCUCAAAACACUAUAGUGUUCUGAACCCACCAGAGAACCACUCUUCCCCUAACACACUAUAGUGUUCUGAUCCGCUCUUCCCAUCAAAACACUAUAGUGUCCUGAACCCACCAGAGACCCACUCUUUCCCUAACACACUAUAGUGUUCUGAUCCGCUCUUCCCAUCAAAACACUAUAGUGUCCUGAACCCACCAGAGAUCCACUCUUUCCCUCAAAACACUAUAGUGUUCUGAACCCACCAGAGAUCCACUCUUCCCCUAACACACUAUAGUGUUCUGAUCCGCUCUUCCCCUCAAAACACUAUAGUGUCCUGAACCCACCAGAGAUCCACUCUUUCCCUCAAAACACUAUAGUGUUCUGAACCCACCAGAGAUCCACUCUUCCCCUCACUAGUGUUUUUGUUUAGUGUCCCACAGAUAUUGCGUCCCAAAUGAAACCCUAUCAUUUAAGUAGUGCACUACAUCAGGGCCCUGGUUAAAUGUAGUGCUCUAGAAAGGGAAUAGGGUGCUAUGGGCCCUAGUUAAAAGAAGUGCACUAGAUAGGGAAUAGGGUGCUAUAGGCCCUGGUUAAAAGAAGUGCACUAGAUAGGGAAUAGGGUGCUAUAGGCCCUGUUUAAAAGAAGUGCACUAGAUAGGGAAUAGGGUGCUAUAGACCCUGGUUAAAAUUAGUGCAUUACAUAGGGAAUAGGGUGCCAUUUGGGCCACAUAGACCCACCCCAUGCUCAUUUAAAUGACCACAGACAGAGCGGUCUGUUGACCACAGCACUUUAAUCACCACCAGCCAGGCCAAGCUAAGCGAUCACAGAUCUGCUCCAGGCCAAGCUAAGCGAUCACAGAUCUGCGCCAGGCAAAGCUAAGCGAUCACAGAUCUGCUCCAGGCCAAGCUAAGCAAUCACAGAUCUGCGCCAGGCCAAGCUAAGCGAUCACAGAUCUGCUCCAGGCCAAGCUAAGCGAUCACAGAUCUGCGCCAAGCUAAGCAAUCACAGAUCUGCUGCAGGCCAAGCUAAGCGAUCACAGAUCUGCUCCAGGCCAAGCUAAGCGAUCACAGAUCUGUGCCAGGCCAAGCUAAACGAUCACAGGUCAGCGCCAGGCCAAGCUAAGCCCCGUCCUGAUUCAUACUAUACAAAACAGCUCCCCUCAUCCACAAAUCUGCAAUCCCAAUAAUCUGUCCUUUCUCCUGAAGUGUGCACUUGUGCACUCCUUCACAAAUGUAAAAGCAUUGGAUAGGUGGAGGUAUGGACUAGAGGAUAGGUGGAGGCAUGGUCUGGAGGAUAGGUGGAGGCAUGGUCUGGAGGAUAGGUGGAGGCAUGGUCUGGAGGAUAGGUGGAGGCAUGGUCUGGAGGAUAGGUGGAGGUAUGGACUGGAGGAUAGGUGGAGGUAUGGACUAGAGGAUAGGUGGUAUGGACUAGACUAGAGGAUAGGUGGAGGUAUGGACUAGACUAGAGGAUAGGUGGAGGUAUGGACUAGAGGAUAGGUGGAGGUAUGGACUAGAGGAUAGGUGGAGGUAUGGACUAGAGGAUAGGUGGAGGUAUGGACUAGAGGAUAGGUGGAGGUAUGGACUAGACUAGAGGAUAGGUGGAGGUAUGGACUAGACUAGAGGAUAGGUGGAGGUAUGGACUAGAGGAUAGGUGGAGGUAUGGACUAGAGGAUAGGUGGAGGUAUGGACUAGAGGAUAGGUGGAGGUAUGGACUAGAGGAUAGGUGGAGGUAUGGACUAGACUAGAGGAUAGGUGGAGGUAUGGACUAGACUAGAGGAUAGGUGGAGGUAUGGACUAGAGGAUAGGUGGAGAUAUGGACUAGACUAGAGGAUAGGUGGAGGUAUGGACUAGACUAGAGGAUAGGUGGAGGUAUGGACUAGACUAGAGAAUAGGUGGAGGUAUGGACUAGAGGAUAGGUGGAGGUAUGGACUAGACUAGAGGAUAGGUGGAGAUAUGGACUAGAGGAUAGGUGGAGGUAUGGACUAGACUAGAGGAUAGGUGGAGGUAUGGACUAGAGGAUAGGUGGAGGUAUGGACUAGACUAGAGGAUAGGUGGAGGUAUGGACUAGACUAGAGGAUAGGUGGAGGUAUGGACUAGACUAGAGGAUAGGUGGAGGUAUGGACUAGACUAGAGGAUAGGUGGAGGUAUGGACUAGACUAGAGGAUAGGUGGAGGUAUGGACUAGAGGAUAGGUGGAGGUAUGGACUAGACUAGAGGAUAGGUGGAGGUAUGGACUAGAGGAUAGGUGGAGGUAUGGACUAGAGGAUAGGUGGAGGUAUGGACUAGAGGAUAGGUGGAGGUAUGGACUAGACUAGAGGAUAGGUGGAGGUAUGGACUAGAGGAUAGGUGGAGGUAUGGACUAGAGGAUAGGUGGAGGUAUGGACUAGAGGAUAGGUGGAGGUAUGGACUAGAGGAUAGGUGGAGGUAUGGACUAGACUAGAGGAUAGGUGGAGGUAUGGACUAGAGGAUAGGUGGAGGUAAGGACUAGACUAGAGGAUAGGUGGAGGUAUGGACUAGACUAGAGGAUAGGUGGAGGUAUGGACUAGACUAGAGGAUAGGUGGAGGUAUGGACUAGAGGAUAGGUGGAGGAAUGGACUAGACUAGAGGAUAGGUGGAGGUAUGGACUAGAGGAUAGGUGGAGGUAUGGACUAGAGGAUAGGUGGAGGUAUGGACUAGACUAGAGGAUAGGUGGAGGUAUGGACUAGACUAGAGGAUAGGUGGAGGUAUGGACUAGACUAGAGGAUAGGUGGAGGUAUGGACUAGACUAGAGGAUAGGUGGAGGUAUGGACUAGACUAGAGGAUAGGUGGAGGUAUGGACUAGAGGAUAGGUGGAGGUAUGGACUAGAGGAUAGGUGGAGGUAUGGACUAGAGGAUAGGUGGAGGUAUGGACUAGAGGAUAGGUGGAGGUAUGGACUAGACUAGAGGAUAGGUGGAGGUAUGGACUAGACUAGAGGAUAGGUGGAGGUAUGGACUAGACUAGAGGAUAGGUGGAGGUAUGGACUAGACUAGAGGAUAGGUGGAGGUAUGGACUAGAGGAUAGGUGGAGGUAUGGACUAGACUAGAGGAUAGGUGGAGGUAUGGACUAGACUAGAGGAUAGGUGGAGGUAUGGACUAGACUAGAGGAUAGGUGGAGAUAUGGACUAGACUAGAGGAUAGGUGGAGAUAUGGACUAGACUAGAGGAUAGGUGGAGGCAUGGACUAGACUAGAGGAUAGGUGGAGGUAUGGACUAGACUAGAGGAUAGGUGGAGGUAUGGACUAGAGGAUAGGUGGAGGUAUGGACUAGACUAGAGGAUAGGUGGAGGCAUGGACUAGACUAGAGGAUAGGUGGAGGUAUGGACUAGACUAGAGGAUAGGUGGAGGUAUGGACUAGACUAGAGGAUAGGUGGAGGUAUGGACUAGACUAGAGCGAGUUCCACCAUGAAUUUGCUUUUUUACCCAAGAAAGGAAGUGAACAAGUGCACACUGAUAAAAAGGACAGAUUGUUGGGCCCCGUGCUGAACUCCCUCCUUAGGUUUCUAUUGGGAAGGGAAGGGAAGGGAAGGGAUAGGAUAGCGGGAGGAGAGGUGUAUCACCGCAGAGUUGGGGGUCAAAGGUCAUUGCACAAUAUUAUAGACUUGCUGUUCUGUAAAAGCCUAAUAUGCAAUGCAUUGUUUAUUAUUAUUAUUAUUAUUAUUACCAUAAUAAAAUAUGAUAAAAUAUAUUAUUUUCGUAUUUUUCCAUUUGUCUGAUGUCAAUCUCUCCCGCUUUGCCAGGGAGCCACCAUUGUUGGAUGAUGUAUAUUAUAUUAUACAUGUGUAAUAAAUAAGUCAUAUUAAUAAUCAUCGUGUUGAGAAAUGAAUCCCAUGUAGUCUUCUUCAUCAUGUUGGUCUGAUAAUAUUACGUGGAUGACGACACCUAAUAAAACACGUGUUGCUGUUCAGCGUGUUGUGUGUUCUGUCUGGUCAGUUGCUGUUCAGCGUGUUGUGUGUUCUGUCUGGUCUGUUGCUGUUCAGCGUGUUGUGUGUUCUGUCUGUUGCUGUUCAGCGUGUUGU
ensembl:lncRNA